GAAAGCAUCUAAGUGGGAAGCCUACCCCAAAACGAGAUAUCCCGUGGCGUAAGCCACCUAAAGACCCCUGGAAGAUGACCAGGUUGAUAGGCGGAAGGUGUAAGUAUGGUAACAUAUUCAGCCCAUCCGUACUAAUCGGUCGUGCGGCUUGGUCAUACUACC
rnacentral:rRNA from 1 species